AGCCACAAUGAUACAGUAGCGCUCGCGACAAGAGAUGCACUAGUCAUGAAAUUCCGGUCUACUCCAGUUAGGGAAUUUUAUUUAACUUACUUUUUGCGUCGAUCUUUUAUAUAUAGGAGUAUUUCGAAGCCUAAAGGACUCCGGGACCACGAACUCGGAUUGCUACCUUCUCUAUGGCUUUUCUGUUUGUUAAUAUUUACUGUUAUAACCGUUAUUAUAGAUGACCAACGAAAAUUAAAGAUUAUUUCGGGAAAUACGAUUUCCUAUUCUCGAUUCCCGAAGGUUCCAAAAGAUAGGGAAUUUGCAAACACUAUCAGAUAUAUAUACGGGUUUAUUAAGAUAAAAGUGCUUGACAUGUUGAAAACAUGCUAAAUGAUGAAAAAUAGUAUAUUCUGUUAUGUAAAAUUCAUUGAAUUUAUAAAAAACAUAGCAUAACUCGAGUCACUGGAUGGUUUGUAAUGCAUGAUUUUUUUUGUAUAUUAUGCUCCUUUCCAAUUAGGAAGAUUAUUAAGGGGCGGGGUCGGUUCCAAGCACAGGCUGCGUCCACAUCCAUGGAGGGCCGGAUGUGAAGGACGGAGAUCGCCGGGCCGAGUCCAGCACCUUGAAAAACUUCAGGUGUUACCAGAUUCUGGACGCGAAUUCGGGUCGUCCUGCGUGGUACUCCAACAGAACAGGCCCCUCAUACUGUGUUCCGGUGCGGACGCUUAAUUGUGAUUAUCAGGGAAGAAUCGAUUCCUCACGAAUGUAUUCCGUGCUAGAGAACCGAAUCGAUGUUUUCUGGAUCAUCAGUGCUCACCCGUAACCACCGAGACUCUAGGCCGCGGCACUACGUUGCC
rnacentral:lncRNA from 1 species